rnacentral:rRNA from 1 species
GACAGAGGUCCCGAGCGUUAGGCGGAAUCACUGGGCUUAAGGCGUGUGUAGGCGGAUUUGUAAGUACCUUGUGAAAUCCCACGGCUCAACCGUGGAACUGCUUGGUAUACUGCUUAUCUUGGGCCAUCUAGGGGCUACCGGAACAAGUGGUGGAGCGGUGAAAUGCGUAGAUAUCACUUGGAACGCCAAUGGUGAAAACAGGUAGCUGGGGAUGUGCCGACGCUGAGACACGAAAGCCAGGGGAGCGAACGGG